rnacentral:tRNA from 1 species
UAAACUAAUAAUUUCAUGGCUUCUAACCAUAUAUAAGAAAAUAUAUAUAUUUUCUAGUUUAU